AUGGGAACGGGGACACCGCGGCAUGGGGACACCGCGGCAUGGGGACACUGUGGGAACGGGGACACCGUGGGAACGGGGACACUGUGGAGACAGGGACAUUGUGAGCACAGGGACACCGUGGCAAUAGGGACACUGUGGCAGUGGGGACACCCUGGGCACAGGGACACCGUGGGGCAGGGACACCGUGGGGCAGGGACACUGUGGGUACAGGGACACGGUGGGCACAGGGACACCAUGGCAAUAGGGACACUGUGGCAGUGGGGACACCGUGGGCACAGGGACAUCAUGGCAAUAGGGACACCCUGGGCACAGGGACAUUGUGGGUACAGGGACAUGGUGGCAGUAGGGACACCGUGGGCACAGGGACACCGUGGCAAUAGGGACACUGUGGCAGUGGGGACACUGUGGGCACAGGGACACCCUGGGCACAGGGACACCGUGGGGCAGGGACACCGUGGCAAUAGGGACAUUGUGGGUACAGGGACACCGUGGGGCAGGGACACCGUGGCAAUAGGGACACUGUGGCAGUGGGGACACCGUGGGCACAGGGACAUCAUGGCAAUAGGGACACCCUGGGCACAGGGACAUUGUGGGCACAGGGACACCGUGGGCACAGGGACACCGUGGCAGUGGGGACACUGUGGGCACAGGGACACCCUGGGCACAGGGACACCGUGGGGCAGGGACACCGUAGCAGUAGGGACACUGUGGGUAGAGGGACACGGUAGCAGUGGGGACACCGUGGGCACAGGGACACCGUGGCAGCGGGAGGGCAGCAGCAGCAAUGGCUGCUCUGCUGCCCCCGGGCUGGUCCCUCCCUGGGCUUUGCUGAGGGGACAUCCCCGGCCCCAGAGGCUGCAGGAGAGCCGGACACCCAGCUCCGGGGGCUGCAGAGCUGGCAGAGGGGACAGGGUGGGGAAGGACAGCGGCACAGCAGGGAGGGGCUCUUGGAGAGCUGGAACGGCCACCCUGACCCUGACUCCCACCCAAGGCAGGCUGGGCUGGAACAGCUGCUUCCCAAAAAGCGCCCAAAGGCUCCAAGCAGGGGCCCCAGAGGACACCUCACACCACCAAGCUGGUGUUCCCCCCCUCCAAGGGGGCUCCACGUCGGGAUGGGGCAGCCUCGGACCCUCCGCUGCCCUUCCCACCAUCCUGACCCCGGGAAACGCCACCGGCAGCUUCGGAAAAGGCAGCAGGAACAGCUCCACCCCCAGCGAAACCAGUCCUGAAAGCCUGGGGGGACUCAUCCCACCUCCUCCAGGGGCAGCCAGGGCUGGGCUCACUCCCACCGCAACCAGAGGGAAUUCAAGGGGCCCAGGAAGUCACCACUGCAAGUUUAUAAAAGCUUUUAUUUGCUCUUGGUACGACCAAGAAUGGGACAGUGAUCUUUUAUACAAUUUGAUACAGUAA
ensembl:lncRNA